rnacentral:lncRNA from 1 species
GUCAGUGACAUUCCAGCCCCUCCAUACCCUGACUGACAGGUCUUCUUUCAGAUCAUUAAGGUGUAUAUGGUUUUGGAGAACAGAAUCGAAGGUGAAAAAAGGACAGAAGCAAAGGCUACACAAAACAAAGCCAGACCUGGAGAUCAUUUUCAAACUCUUCCCUCCUCACCCAAAAUACAUGAAAAGCCCUUCUGUAAAGCAACUGAUGUCUUCAACUUACUAUGAAACGGAGAUGAAUAACUCAGCUUGAUGAAGGAACCCUCAUGUCCACUAUAAUAGAGCAUGGCAAAUUGGAGUCUUCAAUUAAGCACACGGAAUACAUGUGCUGAAUUGCUUUCUUUGCAAGGUUCAGAGUCAGAAUUCCUGCCCUGGGUUCUGAGUUGCUGAGUGGAGACGAUGAUGGAGAGCAGUGGAGACACGUGAUUUUCAGGGUGCUCUUUGCAUGCAUGAAAUGGAGCAAGACUUAUGAAGGGAAAAUGAAAGAGGAGGAUAGGAAGAUACGUCACCUCCUGGGUUUCCUCCAAUCAUCCAGUCCUCAUCUCUCUAUAUGUCUUUGAACACUCUGAGCGCCAUCAUGCCAAUUCCAUGGAUGAAACAAAUACCCAUGACUCAGCAUUUUUCUAAUGAAAACACGUGCGGUCUGACCCGAAGGAGAAACCACAAACAGAAUUGAGAAAAGCAGGCAGGCAAAUUUUGCUUUUCUUUUUCGUUAACCAACAGAAAAUGUAAGGACUGUUUCAUUAGGGAAUAAAAAAAAAAUGACUUACAGAAUUAACCAGAAGCAGCUCAUGAUAAAAUACAGUAUCACGCUAGAAAUACAUGUUUUACUUUUCAUGAAAGCUAACCACAUUGCCAUGAUGGGAACUCUCACACAUUGCUGGUGGGUAUGCAAAAUGAGACAGCCAGUCUGGAAAACAGUCUGCCAGUUUCCCGUGAUGUUACACUUACCACACACCCUAAUAAUCCCAAGUCUAGGUAUUUACCCUAGAGAAAUGAGGACUUAAUGUUCAACCCAAAAUCUGCACGUGAAAAUUUGUAGCGGCUUUAUUCCUUGUCACUAAAAACUGAGAACAACCAGAUGUCCUGCAAGUGACUGAAUAAACAAAGUAUAGUAAUUCAUAUACUACAAAGUAUAAUUCAUGGAGUACUAUGAAGCAAAAGCAGGAAUGACUAGAGUUAAUAACAAAGUAUUGUAUUGUUGAAAAUUGCUGAGCGAGUAGAUUUUAAAUGUUCUCACCACAAAGAACUGAAAAGUAUGUGAGGUAAUGAAUAUGUUAAGUAGCUUGA